rnacentral:rRNA from 1 species
UACGGGGGGAGCAAGCGUUGUUCGGAUUUACUGGGCGUAAAGGGCGCGUAGGCGGCGCAACAAGUCACUUGUGAAAUCUCCGGGCUUAACCCGGAGCGGCCAAGUGAUACUGUCGUGCUAGAGUGCGGAAGGGGCUACUGGAAUUCGUCGGUGUAGCGGUGAAAUGCGUAGAUAUCGAGAGGAACACCUGCGGCGAAGGCGGGUAGCUGGGCCGACACGUGACGCUGAGGCGCGAAAGCCAGGGGAGCGAACGGG